CCGGCGACCGGCGCACGGGUGAGUAACACGUAUGAAACCUGCCCGUAGCAGGGGGAUAAGCGGAAGAAAUUCCGUCUAAUACCGCGUAACAACCCAUGGAGGCAUCUCUGUGGGUUUAAAGGAAGCGAUUCCGGCUACGGAUGGUCAUGCGUCGCAUUAGCUUGUUGGCGGGGUAACGGCCCACCAAGGCGACGAUGCGUAGGGGUUCUGAGAGGAAGGCCCCCCACACUGGUACUGAGACACGGACCAGACUCCUACGGAAGGCAGCAG
rnacentral:rRNA from 1 species